rnacentral:misc_RNA from 1 species
GAUGAAGAACGUAGCGAAAUGCGAUAAGUAGUGUGAAUUGCAGAAUUUAGUGAAUCAUCGAAUCUUUGAACGCACAUUGCGCCUCCUGGUAUUCCGGGAGGCAUGCCUGUUCGAGCGUCAUUAAAAUCACUCAAGCUUAGGUUUACCUAUUGCUUGGUCUUGGAGAUGGAAGCCAAUUUAUUGGAAUCCUCUUCGAAAUUCAAUGGCGAAGACCCUUGCUCUCCCAAGUGUAGUAAUAACUUAUGUCACUGAAGGAAGCGAGAAAUCUUCUGCCGUAACCCCCAUAUUUUCUAUGAUUGACCUCGGAUCAGGUAGGGAUACCCGCUGAACUUAAGCAUAUCAAUAAGCGGAGGA